rnacentral:snRNA from 1 species
UCCUAACAAGCUAUAGACGGGUAUAAAAACUGGAACUAUACAGAGAUUAGCAUGGCCCCUCUUUGGGGAUGACAUGCACGUUCGUGAAGCAUUCCAUUAAAAA